UACAGAGGUCUCAAGCGUUGUUCGGAUUCAUUGGGCGUAAAGGGUGCGUAGGUGGCGCCGUAAGUGGGGUGUGAAAUUUCGGAGCUUAACUCCGAAACUGCAUUCCAUACUGCGGUGCUUGAGGACUGGAGAGGAGACUGGAAUUUACGGUGUAGCAGUGAAAUGCGUAGAGAUCGUAAGGAAGACCAGUGGCGAAGGCGGGUCUCUGGACAGUUCCUGACACUGAGACACGAAGGCCAGGGGAGCAAACGGG
rnacentral:rRNA from 1 species